rnacentral:rRNA from 1 species
AUACGUAGGGGGCGAGCGUUGUCCGGAAUUACUGGGCGUAAAGGGCGUGUAGGCGGGGAUUUAAGUCAGAUGUGAAAGACCCGGGCUUAACUUGGGCAUUGCAUUUGAAACUGGAUUUCUUGAGGACAGGAGAGGAAAGCGGAAUUCCUAGUGUAGCGGUGAAAUGCGUAGAUAUUAGGAGGAACACCAGUGGCGAAGGCGGCUUUCUGGACAGUAACUGACACUGAGGUACGAAAGUGUGGGGAGCAAACAGGAUUAGAUACCCUGGUAGUCCACACCGUAAACGAUGAGCACUAGGUGUCGGGCUCGCAAGAGUUCGGUGCCGCAGUUAACGCAUUAAGUGCUCCGCCUGGGGAGUACGUACGCAAGUAUGAAACUCAAAUGAAUUGGCGGGG